AGUUAGGUAUGUUAAUACAAAAGUGUCCACAAUUCUGAAUCAGCAAUGGUAUUUUUUUAAUAACUAAAUAAUCAUUGGUCCCAUGUGCGUCCCGUGCUCCUUGAGCCUUUUGUUUUCCUUCCCUUGUUCAAAGAUGGAGACGUCUAUGAUUAACAAGCUCCGAUGGUCAAUAAAACGUUGUAGGGUCAAUAGAAAGGUAUCGGAAUCAUUGGAAUUCUUCUUUCGAAGUUCGGAAAAUCAAAGAAUAGCGGAUAACUAUAAAAAGAACAGGUCUAACAUUACCAUUACAAUGAGCAAUUAAAUACAACUAAGGCAUCAAGCCAUUAAAAAGAGAUAGAAUUUGCAAGCAAAAUCUGGUACAAAAUUUUAUUUACAUCAUCAACAACUAUACAUUACAAUAACAAUAAAAAAUACAACCAAGCCUUUAAAACUAGGUUAAAAUAAUUAAUUUUUUUUUAUAUAUAAAAAAGAAACUUUUUCUGUACAAUGGGGGAAAGAAGGUUUUGAAAUCCAGAGCAGAGCAGAGAAGGAGGCGAUGUCAGGCUUCGGAAGUGUAGCCACUUGGAACAACUGGGGUUGUGGAGGUUGAGCUGAGAGGAGCGGCGUCCUUCUUCUUCCGACGACCGGAACACGACAACGCCGCCGCGACGCUCUUGAACACCAUCAUCUUGAUUCGACCUCUCCUCGGCUGAACCAUUUGAGUGCCUCUUGGUGGAUCCAUGGGAUCGAAACAGAAUUUUUGGGGGAUAAAGAAAAGGAAGAAGCUUUCUGAGUGGCUGCAGAUUGCAUAGUGAAGCGGGAUUUUAGAGUGACGUUUUAUAGAAGAGGUUAGAGCUUGUCGCUGACACUGUAGAAGUCUUGUGGCUCAAGUUUCGUCUUUUUUUCUUUUAAUUUGAUUAUUUGAUUAUUGAUUAUGGGAUUUCGGCUUCUGUGGCAUAUUUUGCUGUUUUUGAAUUCACAUUUGGCAUCCGGAC
rnacentral:lncRNA from 1 species